rnacentral:lncRNA from 1 species
GGCUAGGGCUCCUCAGGUAGAGUUCUUAAGCUGCCUGUUUCUCAGGUGCCCUAACUGUAAAAUAGGGCUGGCAACAGGACCCGGCCCUUGCCCUUGUGAAAACGAAGCCAGCUGAUACCCAAGGCCUGCCACAGAAUCAGCCCCCAUCCUGAGCCUGCAUCAGCCAAGAAGGAAAAAGGUUCCACAGCCAACUGCAACCAGUGCUUUGCCUACAGGAUAUUCCAUUUGGAGCCCCAGGCCCAUGUGGCCCUUCUGCCAGAGCCAGGGAGCCCACUGCAGCCCUGAGGGCACUCACAUGGACAUGUUCUGGAAGCCUGUGCCAUUCUCCCAGCUGUCGAAGACGGGGAUUGUGCAGGGUGAGAGAAUGGUCCUCCAUGGCCCAGGGACAUCACCCAGGCAGCACUACCCACUGGGUGCAUAGGUGCAUGCCGACAGGGAAACUGAGGCGAAGAAGGGGCAGGGAUCCCACAGCAGUCGCACCACAAGGCUGGUCUCCCGCCUCCUGGUCCCCACCCUCUGGAGAAGCACACCCAGUUCUAGUGGACUAAAUGGGACACAAGGAAGCGUGAUGUGCCACAGUGCAGGGCAGGCCCAGCACUGUGGCAGCGGAAUACCUGAAAUGGAAGUGCAGCAGGACUGUGAUCAGCGAGGCCACGAUGGAGAUGCUGCAGCCCACGAGGGAGAUGUACGUAAGAGGUGCCAGCAACUCUGCAGGGACCAGGGCUGGGGAGAGUUGCUGCAGGAGGGAAGAGGGGCUGGAGGCCAGAAGCAUAGUAUCGCCCUUCCUCCCAGCCUCAGUCAGAGGGACCUCCUGAGGCCUCCUCUCCAAGUCCCCUUCCCCACAAGCCUAGCCAUGGACCUGGCUUGAACAAGGCCAUGGCAGAUACAGUCAGUUUUGCCCCCUCCACAUCUCCCAUCUCCCUCUUCUUCUAUGAGUGCCUCCCUUCUCCCACUCCCUAUGCACCUGUGGGGUUCCACCACUUUGCCCUCUUUGUGCAGAAAGGGGUGCCAGGCCUGGUCAAGCAGGGCCCUCCCUCCUUCUGCCUAUAGCGAUUGGGUCAGGGAUGAGCACAUGGCUGGCAGAACUGGGUAAAAGAAGAUUUUAUUCCACUGGCCUGAAAGCUAGCAGGGCAUGAGCCUGGAACUGCUGCCAGCUAUAUUAUUAUCUCAUAAGGAGAUCCUAUUUGAGGGCUAAGCCAGCACAGAGCAAGCACAGUUGAGGGACAAAGAUAGAGUGCUAUCUUAGUGAUCUUAGUGAUCAGCCCGUGGAUCAAGCCAUGCCUGAAGCCUAACCCAGCCUUUCCAGAAACAUGAGUCCAUAAAGUUUUUUUUGUUUUUUGCUUAAGCCCAUUUCAGUUGGACUUUCUGUCCCUUGCACCAGCUUUUGCCUUGCUCCUCUGCCACAGACACAGGGCCCUCUGUAGCUCUGAGCCCCACUCAGGAUGCAUACAUACCAUGAGAACAGCAAAGUAGGUGAGGUGGUUGCAGCGGCAGAGCACCUGAGAGUGGGAGGGCUGCUCUGUACGACAGCCCUCAGGGCUCCAGCCCCCCCAGGGCUGUUUCCUGGCUCCCUCCUUCCAGAAGACACAGGUCAGGGUGUAGCCUUCCUGGGUGGAGAUGCUGGGUCAGUCAUAGGGUGCAGAGGAAAGGCUGCAGAUCAGUGUCUGGGAGUCCUGGGGGCCAACGGUGACUCAACUGCACAUUUGCCAACAUUUUACCAGGCACUGGCUGGCCUUUGGCUUCAGACAGUCUCAGAUUCCUGUCCCACCUCCACUGUGGGCUCUCAGAGUGACCCAGGCAAGACACCAAGUUGCUCUGAGCCUCAGUUUAGUCAUCUACAGAAUAGGAUCAUUCGUACCCAUGUUACAACAAUGGUGGAAAAACAAAGGGCAACACGGAAUCUUGAGUGUCCAGCUCUGGCCUUUUAUACAGUAGGCGCUCCAUAACCAGCUGAUCCCUUCCCUUCCUCCCCAUGGGGAACAGCAAUGUGCUCAGACCCACGCCUGGUUGGGGGAGACUCAUCCACAGACAACCCUAAUGCCAAGCCACGUGGGUGGAGAAGUGGAGGAAAUGACACAGGUAGUCACGGAAGACCAUGGAGGGUAGGCAGAGCUGACCCAAAGGGAGAAGGGGAGGUGGGGGCCCUGAACCCUUAGAGGACGUGUUGGAUUUCAACACGAGUAGGGCAAGGGCAUUCCAGGUGGAGGGAACCAUAGUGGCAAAAGCCCAGAGCUGAAAGGAAAGGAUGAUGGUGAAAUUUAGAGUGCAGGGCAGUCCUGGUGAAGCUGAAGGGAAGAUGAAGCCAGAAAGCAGAGGCUCCGGGCUUUUCAGGAAUGCCAGGAACCAGAAAUGGAGGCACUGAGGCUUGUGAACCACCCCACUCUGCCCCCACCCCCAACAAGCAGCCCUGUCUCUGUUCCAGGAUCAGCAUCUGCACUUACCCUAGGAGCUCACUCCUUCACCCCAGUCCCUGGGCCGUGUGACCCAGGCCUGGCCAAUCCACACAUUCCAUCCCCCUGGGCACAGUGACAGGUGCAGGGAUGGACAUGUGUGACCCAGCUGAACCUUUAAGAUCCUGAGACCCUGAUCUGCACUGGGGCAGGUUGUGGGUGGGGAGUCGGGGGAAGAGCCUGAUGGGAAGAGGGAAAGGAAGUCUGGCUCUCCAGCAUCCAUCAUGCCACAGAAUGGACAGCCAAGACAGGAGACCAUUGCUGAGACGGAGAGAGACUGAGCCACAAGGGCAUCAGAUCCAUCCCUGGAUCCAGCUAUGUCUGAAGCUGGUGGAUCACCUCUAGACAUUUCAUGGAUGUGUGCCAAUCAGUUCCCUCUGUGCUCAAGCUGGCUUGAAGUGGUCUUUUCUUACUUGCAACUGAAAGAAUUCUGACAAAUGCAUGAG